rnacentral:lncRNA from 1 species
CUGCCAUUUAUGUAAGACGUGACUUGCUCCUCUUUGCCUUCUGCCAUGAUUGUGCGGUUUCUUCCACCACGUGAAACUAGAAACUGGUACCAGAAAUGGCCCAGAACUAGAAUGAAGUAGAAAAAUUGGGCAAGAUGUAUAUAUAAAACAAGUCUGUUUUUACAAUUUUGGCAACUGGAAGCUGAGAAAUAUUAUCCCUGAAAGAAGGAAAACAAAUGAGACACACGGUAUGAUUUUCCUCAGCUCUCUCUUUGUGGGACACUUUCUGAAUUGUGGCAAAAGAAGGAGCCACUCAAGCAGAAUACUGAGAUCUUCAACCUACCAAUUGAAAUUCCAAGAGACUGAGGCAGAGUACCAGAAGGGAGAGAACUGCCCAGCAUACAGGUUCCCUGCUAUCUGCAUAGGGCCAACUUGAUUCUUUGGAUAUCUGACCAAUAAGAAGAACUGGCUGUGUAAGAACAACUGGCUGUGUAAGAACAACUAUUUGGGAGCUAAUAUCUGAAAAAUUAUCAGAAGACAUGUAGGAUGGGAGAUGCUUGAUUUACAAUCCAUGAGAGUGCAGAAACAGUGUUGAACACCCAGGGUCUUCAGUGGAGGCAUAAGAAUUGUCGUGCUUGAGCAGUAGUCCUCAUCCAAAACUACAGUGAAGACUUUGCAUUAGUUUUCUUCUGCUGCCAUAAAAAAAAUGCCACAAAUUUAGUAGCUAAAAAUAACACAAAUAUGCUAUCUUACAGUUCUGGAGAUCAAAAGUCUAAAACGGGUCUCACUGCUAAAAUCAAGGUGUGAAACUGCAUUUAUUUCUGGAGGCUCUAGGGGAGAAUCCAUUUUCUUCAUUUGCAAGCAUCAAGAGGCAGUCUGCAUUCCUGGGCUUCAUUUAUUUAUGUCAUCUUUAGUUUUAAUCGGAAUUAUUUCAUAGUUUUCCUUAUACAGGCCUCUCACAACCGUUGUCAAAUUUUCUUCUGUCUUGAAGAUAAAAAAUUUAUUUUAUAUUACUUUUAGAUGUUAAUGUAUCAAGGAAAGAUAACGAACUAAGAGAAAACUGGGAAGGAAUAUGCAGGUAAUGUCACUUUUAGAAGUCAUGAUAGAUAUAUACACUAGAAAAUCAACUAGCAAAAUAUAUAAUAUUGAUAGUUUGCUGUUCUAAAUGAUUUUUAUAUAAAAUUUGUUUUCAUAUAUCUGUGUUUUAAAUAUAUUAGACUCUGUUGAAUACAUAACUUUCUUAUAUACAUUUCCUAAACAUACUUAUAAUUAUAUUCACUUAUAAUCUUCCUUCA